UACGGAGGGUGCAAGCAUUGAUCGGAAUUACUGGGCGUAAAGGGCGCGUAGGCGGUUCAAUAAGUCAGAUGUGAAAUUCCGGGGCUCAACCCCGGAGCUGCAUUUGAAACUAUUAGACUAGAGUUCAGUUAGGGUAAACGGAAUUCCACGUGUAGCGGUGAAAUGCGUAGAUAUGUGGAAGAACACCGGUGGUGAAGACGGUUUACUGGGCUGAAACUGACGCUGAGGCGCGAAAGCAUGGGGAGCAAACAGG
rnacentral:rRNA from 1 species